GAUGAACGCUAGCGGCAGGCCUAAUACAUGCAAGUCGGACGGGAUUGGAGAGCUUGCUUUCCAUGAGAGUGGCGCACGGGUGCGUAACACGUAUGUAACCUACCUUGUUCAGGGGGAUAGCCCCUCGAAAGAGAGAUUAAGACCGCAUAACGUUGCGAUGUGGCAUCACAUUGUAAUCAAAUAUUUAUAGGAACAAGAUGGUCAUGCGGAACAUUAGCUAGUUGGUAAGGUAACGGCUUACCAAGGCUACGAUGUUUAGGGGAUCUGAGAGGAUGGCCCCCCACACUGGUGCUGAGACACGGACCAGACUCCUACGGGAGGCAGCAGUAAGGAAUAUUGGUCAAUGGGCGGAAGCCUGAACCAGCCAUGCCGCGAGCAGGAAGACGGCCCUAUGGGUUGUAAACUGCUUUUGCAGGGGAAUAAACCUUGGUACGUGUACCAAGCUGAAUGUACUCUGACAAUAAGGAUCGGCUAACUCCGUGCCAGCCGCCGCCGUAA
rnacentral:rRNA from 1 species